AACGAACGCUGGCGGCAUGCCUAACACAUGCAAGUCGAACGGGAUCCUGGUUUCGGCCAGGUGAGAGUGGCGGACGGGUGAGUAACGCGUGGGAACCUGCCCAGUGGUGGGGGAUAACUGCGGGAAACUGCAGCUAAUACCGCAUGAGCCCGCAAGGGGAAAGAUUGAUCGCCAUUGGAGGGGCCCGCGUUCGAUUAGGUAGUUGGUGAGGUAACGGCUCACCAAGCCUACGAUCGAUAGCUGGUCUGAGAGGAUGAUCAGCCACACUGGGACUGAGACACGGCCCAGACUCCUACGGGAGGCAGCAGUGGGGAAUCUUGCGCAAUGGGCGAAAGCCUGACGCAGCGACGCCGCGUGAGGGAUGACGGCCU
rnacentral:rRNA from 1 species